GCCUCCACCUCAGAUAUAUGACAAACAGUUGGAUGAAAGAGAACACACCAUUGAAGAAUGGAAAGAACUUAUCUACAAGGAAGUAAUGAAUUCUGAAGAAAAGACUAAAAAUGGUGUCGUAAAAGGGCAACCUUCUCCUUCAGCACAGGUGCAGCAGUGAACAGCAGUGAGAGUCUCCCUCCAUCCUCGUCCGUCAAUGACAUCUCCUCCAUGUCCACCGACCAGACCCUGGCAUCUGACACUGACAGCAGCCUGGAAGCCUCGGCAGGACCCCUGGGUUGUUGCAGGUGACUAGCCGCCUGCCUGCGAAACCCAGCGUUCUUCAGGAGAUGAUGUGAUGGAACACACACACACACAAACGCAGACACACGCACACACAGACACACACACACACAGACACACACACGCAGACACACACACACACACACACAGACACUCAUGCACACACAGAGACACGCAAUGACAAGAAAACAGCAAGGGAGAGAUCCAAGCCUAAAAUUUAAACAAAUCUUUCAGCCCGCUUCUUCUCCGGAGUUCUGUAUUGCAGCUAAGCCAAAUGUAUAUUUACCUUCUAGUUGCUCUUGCUUUGGUCUUCUUCCAACGAUGCUUACUACAGAAAGUAAAUCCAAUACAAUUAGAGAAGCCUUUUCCAUAAAGGGUAACUUUAAUGGCUGCAAAACCAACAACCUGUAACUGCCCUCUCAAAUGGCAUGACAAGGUGUGCAGUGGCCCCAUCCAGCAUGUGUGUGUCUCUAUCUUGCAUCUACCUGCUCCUUUUGGCCUAGUCAGAUGGAUGUAGAUACAGAUCCGCAUGUGUCUGUAUUCAUACAGCACUACUAACUUAGAGAUGCUACUGUCAGUGUCCUCAGGGCUCUACCAAGACAUCAUGCACUGGGGUACCACAUGGUCCAUUUCAUGUGAUCUCUUACCCUGACAUAAACCCAUCUGUAAUAUAUUGCCAGUAUAUAAGCUGUUUAGUUUGUUAAUUGAUUAAGCUGUAUGUCUUAUAAGAAAACAUGUAAAGGGGGAACAUAUGGGAGGAGUGAGUUCUCUCGGACCCUUGAAGAUGUAGCUUCCAAAUUUGAACUGAUUAAAUGGCACCUGUAUACCAAUUUGUA